AUGGCCGGCUUCUUUAUCUUCAGUUUUGUCUACCUUUACAACAAGUGAGGUCCUAUCAUAGAGGAUUGAAUUUUAUUCACAUGUUUAAUGUUUUUCUUAAGCCUUGUGGAGAAAUAUCUGGGGGUUUUCUCACAAAAGUUUCACCUCAAGUUCACUUUAGAAGGGAAUUAGGAUAUGAUAUAAUUGUACUGAAGUGUCCAGCAUCGAUUUCAAAUGGGUCUUUCUACCUAUAGAAAGUUGUUGCUGGUUCAUAUUAGGAUUGCCAGACCACAGUUUGAUUAGUCUAAUUGAAUUUACGAGUCAAGUGGUUUAAUUCAUAAUAAAUAUACUUUGAUAAGAUUAGGUGUUUUAAAAUCAUUGGAAAAGUCGAAGUGUGCAAUCGGAUGGACGGGUAAUGAUUAUUAUUAUAAUUUUUUUCCUUCUAGAUGUCUUGUCUUUCCCCCUCCUGAAAUGAAGAUUGAUUAACAAAAGAGCCUCUAAUUAAGGAGGGGGGAUCCUAGCUGGACAAAUUCUUUGUUUCAGUCUUAUUUGUCUCCUUUAUAUCAUUAUGUCUUGUCUCCGAUGGCAUUUUUUACGUCUUAUUUGUCACAUCACAUCACAUUGUGUCGUUUCACAUAUUGAUUAAGGACUUAUCUUUAAUCGCGUUUUUAACUUUUAAUUCUUCUUUUUCCUGGACAUGCGUUGUACUCUGAGAGAGUAAUUUUGGAAAGCAGGGGACGAUAAGAUUAAAAUAUACCAACCCUUAAACAGCCGUCGGCAGCCUGUUACUUCCGUUUGCAUUGAAUUUGAAUCUGUUUAUUGGCAAACGUCAUUUUAUUGGAUAGUUUGUCCGGCUUAAAGUAUUACUAGUAUAGUAGUAGUACAAGACUUGUUUUUAGAAAAUUAAUAUAAUCAAUUAUUUUUAAUUUUUUUUAAAACGUUCAAAUAUUAUUAUUAUUAAAGUGAAACAGACAUAUUAAUUUAAAUAAUCUCAACGAGGAUUAGAUACAAAGACCAAUAGGGGUAGGAAUUGAAUUUGAAGCUGUGACUGCAUACUUCUACCUUAACCAUCAGGCUAAGGCUUCACUGGCCAGUAGUUGGCUAGUAGCCUAGUACUGCUAGUUAUCUUACUGGGUCAUUUAGGAUUAGUCAAAUUUUUUUAUUGAAUAUUUUAAUUUAUAAAAUUAUAUAUAUUAAACAAUUUAAUUAUAUUAAUUAAAAACUUGUUAGAUAGAUAAUAUGAGAGUUCUUGUUUUAAAAGUUAAGUUAAUUACACCAAAAUUAUUUCUAUUCAAUUUUUCUCUUUUUUUUUUUUUUUUUAUGGAAGUAUUCAAUUUUUCGUUGAAUAGAAAUUUAAUUAAUUAAUGUAUAUAUUUAACUGUUUGAAAUUAAAUCACUGUUUUACAUUAAGACAUUUUAUUAUUUUCAUUUAAAAUAAUUAAAAUUAAAAUCUAAAACUAAUCCUCAACGAAAAAUAUUUUUUUAUUACAAAAUUUAGAAAUUUUUUAAAGAAAAUAAAGACGAAAGUCAGUGAAAUUCCAAAAUCCAAAUUGUGCACAUUAUACGCACCUAUUGGAGAAGGCCCUGAACUUGUCCAAACACCAAACAAAUGAGAAAUUUUAAAAUCAAAAUAACCAAUUGAAUUCGGCAAUAGUUGCUAAAAACAAAUCUUCGUGCACUCACACGAUGAUACAUAUAAUAAUAAUUUUAAAAAAUUAAAUAUAAGUAUUCCAUCAUAAUCCCAUGCCAUGCCAUCCAAUAAUAUCUGGGGGUUUUCUCACAAAAGUUUCACCUCAAGUUCACUUUAGAAGGGAAUUAGGAUAUGAUAUAAUUGUACUGAAGUGUCCAGCAUCGAUUUCAAAUGGGUCUUUCUACCUAUAGAAAGUUGUUGCUGGUUCAUAUUAGGAUUGCCAGACCACAGUUUGAUUAGUCUAAUUGAAUUUACGAGUCAAGUGGUUUAAUUCAUAAUAAAUAUACUUUGAUAAGAUUAGGUGUUUUAAAAUCAUUGGAAAAGUCGAAGUGUGCAAUCGGAUGGACGGGUAAUGAUUAUUAUUAUAAUUUUUUUCCUUCUAGAUGUCUUGUCUUUCCCCCUCCUGAAAUGAAGAUUGAUUAACAAAAGAGCCUCUAAUUAAGGAGGGGGGAUCCUAGCUGGACAAAUUCUUUGUUUCAGUCUUAUUUGUCUCCUUUAUAUCAUUAUGUCUUGUCUCCGAUGGCAUUUUUUACGUCUUAUUUGUCACAUCACAUCACAUUGUGUCGUUUCACAUAUUGAUUAAGGACUUAUCUUUAAUCGCGUUUUUAACUUUUAAUUCUUCUUUUUCCUGGACAUGCGUUGUACUCUGAGAGAGUAAUUUUGGAAAGCAGGGGACGAUAAGAUUAAAAUAUACCAACCCUUAAACAGCCGUCGGCAGCCUGUUACUUCCGUUUGCAUUGAAUUUGAAUCUGUUUAUUGGCAAACGUCAUUUUAUUGGAUAGUUUGUCCGGCUUAAAGUAUUAC
rnacentral:lncRNA from 1 species